AACUUAAGCCCCAGUAAACGGCGGCCGUAACUAUAACGGUCCUAAGGUAGCGAAAUUCCUUGUCGGGUAAGUUCCGACCCGCACGAAUGGCGUAAUGAUUUGGGCACUGUCUCAACAGCAAAUCCGGUGAAAUUGUAGUGCAAGUGAAGAUGCUUGCUACCCGCGAUUGGACGGAAAGACCCCGUAGAGCUUUACUGUAGCUUAGCAUUGAAUCUCGGUAUUGUCUGUACAGGAUAGGUGGGAGACUU
rnacentral:rRNA from 1 species